rfam:Spinacia oleracea cultivar SynViroflay scaffold18012.con0002.1, whole genome shotgun sequence.
AACCUAUUAGCUCAAAUGGUAGAGCAAUGUGUCAUUGCACAAGGAUGUAGGUUCAAAUCCUACAUAGGUUG